UUGCAUGGAUGGAUUCUCCUGCUCUCAGAGUAUGAAGAGGGGGAGAGAUGUGGGGGAAGCUCAGCUGCAGCUGUGGGUACAGAAGGCAGGACUCAGGACAGUCUUCAGCAUGGCCUGGUCCCCUCUCCUCCUCACUCUCCUCACUCACUGUGCAGGGUCCUGGGCCCAGUCUGUGCUGACUCAACCGCCCUCAGUGUCUGGGAACCCUGGGCAGAGGGUCACCAUCUCCUGUUCUGGAAGCAGCUCCAACAUCGGAAGUAAUUAUGUAAACUGGUACCAGCAGGUCCCAGGAAAGGCCCCCAAACUCCUCAUCUAUGGUAACAGCAAUCGGCCCUCAGGGGUCCCUGACCGAUUCUCUGGCUCCAAGUCCGGCACCUCAGCCUCCCUGACUAUCACUGGACUCCAGCCUGAGGAUGAGGCUGAUUAUUACUGCGAAACAUGGGAUGACAGCCUGAGUGCUCUCACAGUGCUCCAGGCCUAGGGGGAAGUGAGACAAGAACCCCCUUCCUCCUCUGACCAGAGGGUGAGCCCCUGGAAGCUGCUGCUCAGGCCUGGCCUGUAGCUUCUGCUGCUGCAGCUUCUCCCAUGGAUCUAGGGGCAUCCAGGGCCCUGCUUGGGAGUGAAGGCUCCUCCUCCCCUUCAAUCCUCAGUCAGAAACAGGGCAUCCAGGAAACAAAACAUCCUGCUCCCUGUGGCUCAGAACACAGGGUCUCUGUACUGAAGUUUUGGGCUGAGGUGGCAGGUCCAGCUGUGUCAUCACAGACUCACCUCUGAUGGGAAACCUGUGUCUCCAUCAUCCCCCCUUUUCCCAUUUCCAGGAGUUUCCAGAGUGGUGUCUUCCUCCCCCUGCUCCUCAGUGUGAAUCCCUGUGCUUUUCUCCCCAGCCCAUUUUUAAAAAAAAUAAAACUCCUUGUAUGUAGGAAUAAUGCACAUCUAAUAAACCACCUAUAUUUAUAA